CCAUUUCUGACUAGUAUCUUUUGGUCAAUCAGAGUUUUCCACUGUGAAACAGUUACAAGUGAAUAAAUAAUGACAAGUGAUGCAGAGGGGCUGAGGGCAUGGUUUGUAUCUUCUGAGCCUAAUUCUUCCCCAACUGAAGUCAAGGGUAAAAAUUCCAUUGCCUUCAAUGGGAAGAGGACUGGGAUCUCUGUUUUUAAUAGUGCAUAUCCUCUGUGUAGCUUUGAUACCUUGGUGAUGUCAGUGACCUUGAGCUGUUCUUCUGUUACCUAUUUUAGAGGGCACCUUCUCGUUCUCCUGCUGCCACUAAAUGGUACCAGAGUGCAGGCUGCCUCAUCUAAAAAAUCCAUUAUAUUUCUGCCUGUGAACUCAUCUGAUUUCACAAGCAAGCAGAUGCAGGAUUAGGCACUAGAUGAAUGAAAAGGAAUACACAGGUGCUGCAAGAAGUUAGCUGUUGUACUU